GGGGCUGUAGCUCAGCUGGGAGAGCGCUUGACUGGCAGUCACGAGGUCACGGGUUCGAGCCCCGUCAGCUCCA
rnacentral:tRNA from 1 species